GUCUGACAUGACCUCUGCGCCUUGGACAUUAAAACCACCCAUGAAAAUCCAGCUAAUCUUUUCUAUGGCCUUGGGAAAUACGUAAUGGGGAGCCUCUCGGGGAAGUUACUGGGAUUUUAAUGGACAGUUUAGUGAUCCUGGUGGUAAUCUGACAUGACCUCUGUGCCUCGGACAUUAAAACCACCCAUGAAAACCCAGCUAAUCUUCUCUAUGGCCUUGGGAAAUACGUAAUGGGGAGCCUCUCGGGGAAGUCGCUGGGAUUUUCACGGACCGUUUAGUGAUCCUGGUGGUUAGUUUGACAUGACUUCACUGCCUCGGACAUUAAAACCACCCAUGAAAAUCCAGCUAAUCUUUUCUAUGACCUUGGGAAAUACAUAAUGGGGAGCCUCUCGGGGAAGUUACUGGGAUUUUCACGGACCGUUUAGUGAUCCUGGUGGUAAGUUUGACAUGACCUCACUGCCUUGGACAUUAAAACCACCCAUGAAAAUCCAGCUAAUCUUCUCUAUGGCCUUGGGAAAUACAUAAUGGGGAGCCUCUCGGGGAAGUUGCUGGGAUUUUAAUGGACCGUUUAGUGAUCCUGGUGGUAAGUUUGAUAUGACCUCUGCGCCUUGGACAUUAAAACCACCCAUGAAAAUCCAGCUAAUCUUCUCUAUGGCCUUGGGAAAUACAUAAUGGGGAGCCUCUCGGGGAAGUUGCUGGGAUUUUAAUGGACUGUUUAGUGAUCCUGGUAGUUAGUUUGACAUGACCUCUGCGCCUCGGACAUUAAAACCACCCAUGAAAACCCAGUUAAUCAUCUCCGUAACGACAUAAUUGGAGCCCAGUAUGAAGAUUAAGAACAUGAACUGUGGUAUGAUAGAGCUAAUGAUGGUUAAUAUAUACCGAACUAAUGACGGUUAAUAUAUACGAACGCUGAUUAGUUUGUGCAUUCGCGUGUGGGGGAUAUCGGUAUUCGGGGUAGACUAAACCACUCAAUGUCUUCCUUUGAGUGUUUUUCUCCAUUUCCCGAACUAGGAGGAACCAUGUAUGUCAUCGCGUUAAUAAUUUAAAAUCAUCAAGGUUAGUGUUGUGACGAGCCCUGUUAUUUAUGUGUCUUUAUAUCCUUGUUAUUGUCUUUCUUUAAUUGUUUUUCUCCAUUUCCCGAACUAGGAGGAACCAUGUAUGUUAUUGCGUUAAUAAUAUAAUAUCAUCUAGGUUAGUUUAGUGAUGAGCGCUGUUAUAUAUGUGUCUUAAUCUCCUUGUUAUUGUCUUUCUUUAAUUGUUUUUCUCCAUUUCCCGAACUACGAGGAACCAUGUAUGUUAUUGCGUUAAUAAUAUAAUAUCAUCAAGGUUAGUUUCGUGACGAGCGCUGUUAUAUAUGUGUCUUAAUCUCCUUGUUAUUGUCUUUCUUUAAUUGUUUUUCUCCAUUUCCCGAACUACGAGGAACCAUGUAUGUUAUUGCAUUAAUAAUUUAAAAUCAUCAAGGUUAGUGUUGUGACGAGCCCUGUUAUUUAUGUGUCUUUAUCUCCUUGUUAUUGUCUUUCUUUAAUUGUUUUCUCCAUUUCCCGAACUAAGAGGAACCAUGUAUGUUAUUGCGUUAAUAAUUUAAAAUCAUCUAGGUUAGUGUUGUGACGAGCCCUGUUAUUUAUGUGUCUUAAUCUCCUUGUUAUUGGCGAAGGGUACGUCCUCCUCCUCCCCCUUUCCUUUUCUCCAUUUCCCGGGCUAAGAGGAACCAUGUAUGUCAUCGCGUUAAUAAUAUAUCAUCCUCUAUGUUAGUUUAGUGACGAGCGCUGUUAUUUAUCUGUCUUAAUCUCCUUGUUAUUGGCGAAGAGUACGUCCGGUAGGUUAGGUUAGCAUGUAAGGCUUCGCUACGGUUGACGCCUGGCUAUCCGGUUGACUAGCAUGUACGUAUCCGCUUCUAAGGCUUCACUGCGGUUGACGCUUGGCUAUCCGGUCAGCUAGCAUGUACGUAUCCGCAUGUAAGGCUUCACUACGGUUGACGCUUGGCUAUACAGUCGGCUACCAUACACGUGUCCGCAUGUAAGGCUUCACUACGGUUGACGCUUGGCUAUCCGGUUGACUAGCAUGUACGUAUCCGCUUGUAAGGGUUCGGUACGGUUGACGCUUGGCUAUCCGGUUGACUAGCAUGUACGUAUCCGCUUGUAAGGCUUCAGUACGGUUGACGCUUGGCUAUCCGGUUGACUAGCAUAUACGUAUCCGCUUGUAAGGGUUCGGUACGGUUGACGCUUGGCUAUCCGGUUGACUAGCAUAUACGUAUUCGCAUGUAAGGGUUCAGUACGCUUGACGCUUGGCUAUCCGGUUGACUAGCAUGUGCGUAUCCGCUUGUAAGGCUUCACUACAGUUGACGGUUGGCUAGCAUAUACACAUCUGCUUGUAAGGGUUCAGUACGCUUGACGCUUGGCUAUCCGGUCGGCCACGUGGCUUGUGAACGAGUGUGUGAUUUGCCAACA